GAUGAAGAACGCAGCGAAACGCGAUAAGUAAUGUGAAUUGCAGAAUUUAGUGAAUCAUCGAACUUUUGAACGCACAUUGCGCCCGGCGGCACUCCGCCGGGCAUGCCUGUCCGAGCGUCAUUAUACUGCCCUCGACUCUCCGAGUCGGUGUUGGGAGUCUCUGCGCCUGUACGCAGCUCCCCAAGUCCACUGGCGUCGCGCCACGGUGCCCCUGCGUAGUAAUUUCACCUCGCUUGGGACCCUGGGUGCCGGCUGCCUUCUCUCUCGCAGCAGGCUCUUUCGAGUCGGCUCCAGCACAGUUAACCUCGGAUCAGGUAGGGUUACCCGCUGAACUUAAGCAUAUCAAUAAGCGGAGGA
rnacentral:misc_RNA from 1 species